rnacentral:rRNA from 1 species
GACGAACGCUGGCGGCGUGCUUAACACAUGCAAGUCGAACGCUGAAGCUCAGCUUGCUGGGCGGAUGAGUGGCGAACGGGUGAGUAACACGUGAGUAACCUGCCCUCUUCUUUGGGAUAACGCCCGGAAACGGGUGCUAAUACUGGAUAUUCACUGAUUCUCGCAUGGGGGUUGGUGGAAAGGUUUUUUCUGGUGGGGGAUGGGCUCGCGGCCUAUCAGCUUGUUGGUGGGGUGAUGGCCUACCAAGGCUUUGACGGGUAGCCGGCCUGAGAGGUUGACCGGUUAAAUUGGCAGUGGGCUACGGCCCAGACUCCGACGCGAGGCAGCAGUGGGGAAGAUUGCACAAUGGGCGAAAGCCUGAUGCUGCGACGCAGGGUGAGGGACGGAGGCCUGUGAGUUGUACACCUCUUUCGGUCAUGGUCAAGCCGCAGCGUUGGGUUGUGGUGAGGGUAGUGGGUAAAGAAGCGCCGGCUAACUACGUG